rnacentral:lncRNA from 1 species
CGAUACUGAGUCUGAGCAAUGGUCGUAUAAUCGUUGUUAUUUAUAUACUCGCAAGUUGUGAUCAACACUAGACCGAUACUGGUACACACAACUACGCUUUCUACUUGCAGGUUUAAGUAGCUGAGGAGAUUGGAUAUAUUUGCCUGACAUGACUGUGCCGUCAAACAUUUUUAGUCGGAAACUCGGCAUAAUUUUCAAGCUUCUAGAUAGCAUUUAAUAUAGCCCGUUAUUCCAAUCUCACCGUAUGGUAGCGAAACGUAGCCUAUUUCAUUGUUCCGACAGCAUUAGAGCAAAACUAAUGACUUAAUUAUAAACGCAAAGAAAUUUCCAUAAUAUUUUCUAUUUACAAAUGCAGUAUGCUUAUAGUAACCAGGCCAGGGACCACUUUUUUGAAAUCAGGGACCAUUUUACCGAAAUCUGCUAGGCUCUCUCGCUGAAGCGUUCCGCACAGCACACCCAUGCAUAAAACUUUUAAGACUUAUUUAAAUAUAUCAAAGCAGCGAAUAGAGAGAGAGCCUGGGACUAGGCUGACGUAGAGCGAAAGCCGAAACCAAAAAGACCAAGAGGAAGUCCAAGGCGGGGAGCAAAGGAAUGGUCAACAAGACGGUACGGACAAGAUGGACACCUGCUUCCCUCCAUAGCAGAGUCCAAUGCAAUACCAGACGAACAUGCAGCAGUUCUAUAAAAAGCCCUUAAUUUUGGCACCGGUGGGUACAUCUGACCCUAAUGUUGUUAAUUGGCGCCCAGACGAUAAUGCCCCUAGACCGCACGGAAAAGUAAUCAAGCGCCAACAUCGUCUUUUUUCUCAAUCUCGGCGAGCAGCUUUUGGCCGAUGGUUGACCUCACACGAUUGAAAUCCAGCUUUACCCUACUCACUAAUGAUGAACUGGUGACAACUCUGAACCAUUUCUUCCUUUCCGUAAAUAAAGAUAUUCCAACCCUUAACACGAGUAAGUUACCAGCUUACUUACUUGCUGCUGAUCAAUUACCCAUUAUCCCUCCUUACCAAGUUUGUAAAAAAUUGCUCAGUCUUAACUCUUUUAAAACCGCUGGCCCUGAUAACAUCCUGCCUCGCAUUCUUAAAGAAUUCGCUUACGAAUUGUCUGAACCACUUGCACAUAUUUUCAACCUCUCUUUAUCUUCGGCUACCACCCCUUCUCACUGGAAAUCUGCGAAUAUUUCCCCGAUUCCAAAAGAGACACCUCCCAAAGAAAAAAAUAAUCUGCAUCCAAUUUCAUUAACGUCGUGUAUAUCAAAAGUCCUAGAGGAAUUCGUGGUCGAAUGGAUCUUGGAAGAUAUCGGACAUCAAAUUGACUCUAAGCAAUUUGGAUGCCUCCGCGGUUCAUCUACUACUCUAUGCCUACUUGACAUGUUUCAUUCCUGGUUAUCCAAACUUGAUGCUGAUGGAUGCCCACUAAUAAUAAUAAUAAUAUUUAAUAUUUACAUUGCGCAAAUUAACAUGUUAUAGUAUAUGAUCAAAUGCGCAUCACAAAACAUAAUUACACUAAAAUUAUUCUAUGCUGAAUGGUUACUAACUAAAAAUAUAAAGAAGAUUAUACAGAUUAUAUGUUACAUGAAGUAUUUACAUUAAAGGCUUCUUCAAAAUAAUAAGUCUUAACUAAUUUCUUGAAAAUACUAAAGUUAUGCAGAUUUCUAAUAUACAUAGGUAAUUCAUUCCAGAUUUUUGGAGCGGAGGUUACACUACGGAUUGUCUUACUAGAUUUUAGUACAGAAUUAACUUGAACGUACUGAUUACUAAGCUGAUCUACAUGGGGCUUCGUAGAUCUAUUAUUCCAUGAUUAAUGUGACUUUUUGUCUGAUCGCAGACAGAGAGACAAACUUGGGGAAGCCCCAUCUUGUUUUUGGUAAUGGUCAACGACAACACAUUAGAAUCAGAACAUUGGAAGUAUGUAGACGAUCUUACCAUCUCCGACGUCAUUCCAAAACAUAGCGAAUCUAACAUGCAAUAGGAACUAGACCAUAUUUCAAACUGGUCUGACUAAAACUAUAUGAAACUUAAUCUAAAAAAGUGUAAAGAAUUGAGAGUUAAUUUCCAACGUCAUUUGCCUGAUUUACCACAGCUCAUCACCAUUGAUAGAAUACCGCUUGAAACGAUUAGCAGCCAUUGCUAGGUCUUCAAAUCCAAGACGACUUAAAAUGGAACGAACACGUUGAUAUUAUUACCAAGAAAGCCGCAAGACGUUUGUAUAUUAUUCGUACUCUGAAGCGUAAUGGAGUACCUGAGGAAGACCUAAUAAGUAUAUACAUCUGUUAUCCGCUCCAUAUUGGAUUACGGCUGCGCUGUGUGGCAUAAACGCCUCCCUUAUUUCCUUUUUCGAGAAGAUUGAACGCAUACAGAAGCGAUUUUUCCGCAUUAUAUUCCCACAUCUAUCUUAUCGUGAAGCCUUAGCUCUUACUGGAUGCCCGAGACUUGAAGACAACCGUCAACGCUUGUGUUUAAAACUUUUUAAUAAACUUAAAACCCAGCCAAGUUCGAAACUUUCCCAACCUAAGAUCUCGUACGAGGUAUGAAUCACACGGACGAUCGGUGCGUAGUGGAAAUAAUUUGUCUUUAUAUAAAUGUAGAACAGAUUUUCCAACAAUGACGGAGGUUCAUAAUCAGCAAUAACUAAGAUUUUUUAAAUUUUUAACUAGAUACUAUUGAAUGUAAUAUAUUAUUUUAUACUGUGUAAUAUAUAAUGUAAUUCGCCUUAUAAUGGUGCGAAUUUUUAUAUUUUUAAUAAAUUGAAUUGAACAAAGACUAGAUCCCUGACAUAGCAAUGGCUCAUUCGCAUCUCCGCCCAAUUGCGGAUCAGAUACCUUCAGCCCAACGUGACACUGACAUCCUUUUGCUCAUUGGAAGAGAUGUACCACCACUUCACAAAGUUCGAGAGUCUAGAAGCGGAAGGGGGGGGGGGG